GCUCUGAUGGUGUAACGGCAGCAUGUCGGUCUCGUCAACCCGACGGUGCCGGUUCGAUUCCGGCUCGGAGCU
rnacentral:tRNA from 1 species